GACAGAGGGUGCAAACGUUGUUCGGAAUUACUGGGCGUAAAGCGAGUGUAGGCGGUUUGGAAAGUCGGAUGUGAAAGCCCCGGGCUCAACCCGGGAAGUGCAUUCGAAACUUCCGAGCUGGAGUGCUGGAGAGGAAGGCGGAAUUCUCGGUGUAGAGGUGAAAUUCGUAGAUAUCGAGAGGAACACCGGUGGCGAAGGCGGCCUUCUGGACAGUCACUGACGCUGAGACGCGAAAGCGUGGGGAGCAAACAGG
rnacentral:rRNA from 1 species